CAGAUUGAACGCUGGCGGCAGGCCUAACACAUGCAAGUCGAGCGGCAGCACGGGUACUUGUACCUGGUGGCGAGCGGCGGACGGGUGAGUAAUGCCUAGGAAUCUGCCUGGUAGUGGGGGAUAACGCUCGGAAACGGACGCUAAUACCGCAUACGUCCUACGGGAGAAAGCAGGGGACCUUCGGGCCUUGCGCUAUCAGAUGAGCCUAGGUCGGAUUAGCUAGUUGGUGAGGUAAUGGCUCACCAAGGCGACGAUCCGUAACUGGUCUGAGAGGAUGAUCAGUCACACUGGAACUGAGACACGGUCCAGACUCCUACGGGAGGCAGCAGUGGGGAAUAUUGGACAAUGGGCGAAAGCCUGAUCCAGCCAUGCCGCGUGUGUGAAGAAGGUCUUCGGAUUGUAAAGCACUUUAAGUUGGGAGGAAGGGCAUUUACCUAAUACGUAAGUGUUUUGACGUUACCGACAGAAUAAGCACCGGCUAACUCUGUGCCAGCAGCCGCGGUAAUACAGAGGGUGCAAGCGUUAAUCGGAAUUACUGGGCGUAAAGCGCGCGUAGGUGGUUUGUUAAGUUGGAUGUGAAAUCCCCGGGCUCAACCUGGGAACUGCAUUCAAAACUGACAAGCUAGAGUAUGGUAGAGGGUGGUGGAAUUUCCUGUGUAGCGGUGAAAUGCGUAGAUAUAGGAAGGAACACCAGUGGCGAAGGCGACCACCUGGACUGAUACUGACACUGAGGUGCGAAAGC
rnacentral:rRNA from 1 species